GACGAACGCUGGCGGCGUGCUUAACACAUGCAAGUCGAACGGUGAAGCGCCUUCCUUUUUGGUGGGUGUGGAUGAGUGGCGAACGGGUGAGUAACACGUGAGUAACCUGCCCCCUUCUUCUGGAUAACCGCAUGAAAGUGUGGCUAAUACGGGAUAUUCUGGGUCUGUCGCAUGAUGGGUCUGGGAAAGAUAUUGUUUCGGUGGGGGAUGGGCUCGCGGCCUAUCAGCUUGUUGGUGGGGUGAUGGCCUACCAAGGCGGUGACGGGUAGCCGGCCUGAGAGGGUGGACGGUCACACGGGGACUGAGACACGGCCCAGACUCCUACGGGAGGCAGCAGUAGGGAAUAUUGCACAAUGGGCGCAAGCCUGAUGCAGCGACGCCGCGUGAGGGAUGGAGGCCUUCGGGUUGUGAACCUCUUUCGCCAGUGAAGCAGGCCUGCCUCGUUUGUGGGUGGGUUGACGGUAGCUGGAUAAGAAGCGCCGGCUAACUACGUG
rnacentral:rRNA from 1 species